AACGAACGCUGGCGGCAUGCCUAACACAUGCAAGUCGAACGAAGGCUUCGGCCUUAGUGGCGCACGGGUGCGUAACGCGUGGGAAUCUGCCCCUCGGUUCGGAAUAACAGUUAGAAAUGACUGCUAAUACCGGAUGAUGACUUCGGUCCAAAGAUUUAUCGCCGAGGGAUGAGCCCGCGUAAGAUUAGGUAGUUGGUGGGGUAAAGGCCUACCAAGCCGACGAUCUUUAGCUGGUCUGAGAGGAUGAUCAGCCACACUGGGACUGAGACACGGCCCAGCCUCCUCCGGGAGGCAGCAGUGGGGAAUAUUGGACAAUGGGCGAAAGCCUGAUCCAGCAAUGCCGCGUGAGUGAUGAAGGCCUUAGGGUCGUAAAGCUCUUUUACCAGGGAUGAUAAUGACAGUACCUGGAGAAUAAGCUCCGGCUAACUCCGUGCCAGCCGCCGCCGUAA
rnacentral:rRNA from 1 species